AGUGAACGCUGGCGGUAGGCCUAACACAUGCAAGUCGAACGGCAGCACAGUAAGAGCUUGCUCUUACGGGUGGCGAGUGGCGGACGGGUGAGGAAUACAUCGGAAUCUACUUUUUCGUGGGGGAUAACGUAGGGAAACUUACGCUAAUACCGCAUACGACCUACGGGUGAGAGCAGGGGAUCUUCGGACCUUGCGCGAUUGAAUGAGCCGAUGUCGGAUUAGCUAGUUGGCGGGGUAAAGGCCCACCAAGGCGACGAUCCGUAGCUGGUCUGAGAGGAUGAUCAGCCACACUGGAACUGAGACACGGUCCAGACUCCUACGGGAGGCAGCAGUGGGGAAUAUUGGACAAUGGGCGCAAGCCUGAUCCAGCCAUACCGCGUGGGUGAAGAAGGCCUUCGGGUUGUAAAGCCCUUUUGUUGGGAAAGAAAAGCAGCAGGUUAAUACCCCGCUGUUCUGACGGUACCCAAAGAAGAAGCACCGGCUAACUUCGUG
rnacentral:rRNA from 1 species